ensembl:ncRNA lncRNA:CR46336 long non-coding RNA:CR46336
AACACACACACACACGCACCCUGCCAAAAAUAUGUGCGUGUACUGCCUGCCGUAAAGGGGCGUAAUUAAAACCGAAGGGGGAGUGGAGUGGGGGUGUAAUGUCGGUGGGGCAUGUAACCGCCAGGUCGCUCCUAAAUACUUUCACCAACUAUGCCAUGUUGUCAUAAUUCUUCAUCCACCUAUAAGGCACACACCCGAAAAACCACACAUAGAAAUAAAAUAAAAAAUGUAGGAUGGGGAGGGGGAUGUCAAUGGGGGGCCAGCACCAAAAGGAAAAAGAGAGUAACGAAAAGUGCACGAAAUAUGCGCCCUGUUAUUGCUAAUACGCAUUCCAGCUGCAGUUUUCGGCUCAGCCCAGUGGACUCACAAUGGAGUGGAAUGCCACUGUCGUCGCUGCCGGCAUGUCAAAGUGAAUAACUCAAUAGCCAUAUUGGGUGUCCACCUGUGCGAGAGCGGGAGAGGGAGAGGCAGAGAGCGGGCGAGUGGCAGCUUCAUCCAUCAGCAGGGGGGCCAGGGGCAGGAUUGGGGUCGCAGAAGGGGCGAGCACUUGCAAUUCCACGUAAAUCCACUCGAUGAGAGCACUUACAUGAGCUUGCGUUUGUCACAAACACACUCACACACACUUGGCAGCUCGCACACACUCACAGAAAUGGCCGUUAAAAUUCUUGACAACCCGAUAUGGUAAUGAUAAUUUCGCACAUUGAGCCGCAAUUUACACUUCUGCGGAAUAAAACAAAAGCAAAGUCCGAGGCAAUCGCCAAUCCACAGCCAUUUACAGAGCCACUCGAUUUAUACGGG